UACGUAGGGAGCAAGCGUUGUUCGGAUUUACUGGGCGUAAAGGGCUCGUAGGCGGCCAACUAAGUCGGACGUGAAAUCCCCAGGCUCAACCUGGGAACUGCGUCCGAUACUGGAUGGCUUGAAUUCGGGAGAGGGAUGCAGAAUUCCAGGUGUAGCGGUGAAAUGCGUAGAUAUCGGGAGGAACACCAGUAGCGAAGGCGGCUCGCUGGGCCAUUCCUGACGCUGAGACGCGAAAGCUAGGG
rnacentral:rRNA from 1 species